GCAGAUGCAGAAACUGAGGCUCCAAGAGCAGAAGUGACACCGAAGUCACCUAGCCCAGAAUUGUCUAUCAUCAAGGCUGCUACUGGCCUCUCUAGGAGCUUUUGUGUCCACAGAAAAAGAUGUUCCUCUGGCCUGCCACAGCCUGCGGAAAUGUUUGCCCUAGGUGGCAGAGUGCCAGCUGAGUGUCAGCCCACAGAUGAAGGAGCCUUCAACUUAGGCCAGAACUUUGUGCAGAAUGCAAAAUAUGCACCCCUCUGCUGGCCCUGUCUGUAGAAGUAAAGAAGUUAAGAAACAGAUCAAUAAAUGAUGGUCUAUUCACAUGAUGAAA
ensembl:lncRNA novel transcript